rnacentral:rRNA from 1 species
GAUGAACGCUGGCGGCGUGCCUAAUACAUGCAAGUCGAGCGAACAGACGAGGAGCUUGCUCCUUUGACGUUAGCGGCGGACGGGUGAGUAACACGUGGGUAACCUACCUAUAAGACUGGGAUAACUUCGGGAAACCGGAGCUAAUACCGGAUAAUAUUUCGAACCGCAUGGUUCGAUAGUGAAAGAUGGCUCUGCUAUCACUUAUAGAUGGACCUGCGCCGUAUUAGCUAGUUGGUAAGGUAACGGCUUACCAAGGCAACGAUACGUAGCCGACCUGGGAGGGUGAUCGGCCACACUGGAACUGAGACACGGUCUAGACUCCUACGGGAGGCAGCAGUAGGGAAUCUUCCGCAAUGGGCGAAAGCCUGACGGAGCAACGCCGCGUGAGUGAUGAAGGUCUUCGGAUCGUAAAACUCUGUUAUUAGGGAAGAACAAACGUGUAAGUAACUGUGCACGUCUUGACGGUACCUAAUCAGAAAGCCACGACUAACUACGUGCCAGCCGCCGCGGUAA